CUUGGUCAUUUAGAGGAAGUAAAAGUCGUAACAAGGUUUCCGUAGGUGAACCUGCGGAAGGAUCAUUAGUGAUUAAACUGUUGCCCUCUGUGCUGGCUCUGCAAGUGCACGUCGGUGACUUUCAUUCCAAUACCCUUGUGAACCUUUGGCCUCUUGCUAGCUUCGGCUGGCAGAGGAUUCUACAUACAAACUCGCAUGUAAUGAAACUCUUGUUGUGCACAAGCACUACUAUAUACAACUUUCAACAACGGAUCUCUUGGCUCUCGCAUCGAUGAAGAACGCAGCGAAAUGCGAUAAGUAAUGUGAAUUGCAGAAUUCAGUGAAUCAUCGAAUCUUUGAACGCACCUUGCACCCUUUGGCAUUCUGAAGGGUAUGCUCGUUUGAGUGUCAUUGUACUCUCACACUUCCGAUCUUGCAUUGGGAGCGGUGGACUUGGGUUUGCUGCCUUACCGUAGCUUACCUCAAAUGUGUUAGUGCAACUCUUGGUUGGACAUAGUACGGCGUGAUAAGUAUCUUCGCCGGUGCCUCGCAAUUGCGAGGGUGGCCGAUCGGGAUGUUGUGCUCCAAACCGUCUUCGGACAAUCUCUGACAACUUGACCUCAAAUCGAGUAAGACUACCCGCUUUACUUAAGCAUAUCAAUAAGCGGAGGA
rnacentral:rRNA from 1 species